AGUUAUGCAUUUGAUGGUCAAUUACAUUGUAUCAUACAGGAUGGCGAAUGGGCCCAGGGUCUAUAUAAUAUAUUUAUAUAUAAUAAAAGAAAACCGAUAAACUCAAUAACAUAUAUGGAAGUUUACAUGAAGGUAAGACAUCGUGCUUAUUACAAAGGGGAGUAAUUUUGAGUCUCAAGAUUGUCUCCCUUUAUUCGCUCCUCGUUGUGCAGUAUGCAAUGUUGAUGGGGUGGGUUGUGUCAUUAAGUGUGAUAUAUCUCUCCAUAUCGCAUGCAGUUAGUGUUUCUUCUAGUUUGUUUUUCGAUGUAGGUGUAUUGCUCGUGCAGGUGUCGGUGUCUAUACUGAUUAUACCCAGGACCACACACUUGAUCAUCAGAGCAGUGCUGGUCUUCCCAUCUCCUGGAGCUCCACAGAUGCUGACAUGGCCAUGCUGCUCAAGAAGCUGUUUGG